rnacentral:rRNA from 1 species
GACGAACGCUGGCGGCGUGCCUAAUACAUGCAAGUUGAGCGCUGAAGGUUGGUACUUGUACCAACUGGAUGAGCAGCGAACGGGUGAGUAACGCGUGGGGAAUCUGCCUUUGAGCGGGGGACAACAUUUGGAAACGAAUGCUAAUACCGCAUAAAAACUUUAAACACAAGUUUUAAGUUUGAAAGAUGCAAUUGCAUCACUCAAAGAUGAUCCCGCGUUGUAUUAGCUAGUUGGUGAGGUAAAGGCUCACCAAGGCGAUGAUACAUAGCCGACCUGAGAGGGUGAUCGGCCAAAAUGGGAAUGAGACACGGCCCAAACUCCUACGGGAGGCAGCAGUAGGGAAUCUUCGGCAAUGGACGAAAGUCUGAACGAGCAACGCCGCGGGAGGGAAGAAGGUUUUCGGAUCGUAAAACUCGGUUGGUAGAGAAGAACGUUGGUGAGAGUGGAAAGCUCAUCAAGUGACGGUAACUACCCAGAAAGGGACGGCUAACUACGUG